rnacentral:tRNA from 1 species
GGGGCCAUAGCUCAGUUGGGAGAGCGCCGCGUUCGCAAUGCGGAAGUCGAGGGUUCAAGUCCCUUUGGCUCCA